GUGCUCGAGGGAUGAACUGGUCCCUCAUAUCUAACAUAUCCAUCUGAUCACUUUGUCAGUUGCCUUUCCCAGUGGCAUGCUGAUCAUUGUAAGAUGGAAAAUGU
rnacentral:snoRNA from 1 species